CGGGAGCACACGGAGCGCAGCGCUAGUCUGCGGGGCGGGGGACGAUGGCGGCUCGAACUUAUCCCGGGACCAAGGGACCAGACCAGUCUAGGAGGCGUUCGGGUCGACGGAGAGCGGGGCGAGGGGGUCCGAGCAGCAACGAGGGCGUCCAGGGAUCCAGAGCAGCGAGAGGAACCGGAGAGAGAGUUGGUGUGACUCGCGUCCAGAGCUGAG